rnacentral:rRNA from 1 species
CACGUAGGGCGCAAGCGUUGUCCGGAAUUAUUGGGCGUAAAGAGCUCGUAGGCGGCUUGUUGCGUCGACCGUGAAACCCGCGGCUCAACUGCGGGCUUGCGGUCGAUACGGGCAGGCUGGAGUUCGAGUAGGGGAGACUGGAAUUCCUGGUGUAGCGGUGAAAUCGCGCAGAUAUCAGGAGGAACACCGGUGGCGAAGGCGGGUCUCUGGGCCGAUACUGACGCUGAGGAGCGAAAGCGUGGGGAGCGAACAGG